rnacentral:rRNA from 1 species
AGCGAACGCUGGCGGCAGGCCUAAUACAUGCAAGUCGAGCGCACCUUCGGGUGAGCGGCGGACGGGUGAGUAACGCGUGGGAACGUGCCCCUUGGUACGGGAUAACUGAGGGAAACUUCAGCUAAUACCGUAUGUGCCCUACGGGGGAAAGAUUUAUCGCCAUUGGAGCGGCCCGCGUUGGAUUAGCUAGUUGGUGAGGUAAAGGCUCACCAAGGCUACGAUCCAUAGCUGGUCUGAGAGGAUGAUCAGCCACACUGGGACUGAGACACGGCCCAGACUCCUACGGGAGGCAGCAGUAGGGAAUCUUGCGCAAUGGGCGAAAGCCUGACGCAGCCAUGCCGCGUGAAUGAUGAAGGUCUUAGGAUUGUAAAAUUCUUUCACCGGGGAAGAUAGUGACGGUACCCGGAGAAGAAGCCCCGGCUAACUUCGUGCCAGCAGCCGCCGUAACAC